UUCUAGUAAGAAAAAUCUAAUUUUCUUCUCAUUCUUUGUUUUUUCCCCACCUGAUCCCUUUCUUGUUCUUCAACACCAAAAGCCCACUAAUCAGCGAAUGAAGGAAGCUGAAUUUAAAUCCUUGAAUUGAAGUACCGUAUAGAGUUAGGAUUUGGGAUGGGACAGUGAGCUACAAGAAGCUUGCGGCAGCAAAGCUGGAGACACAAUGUUGGUAUUCACUUUGUCGUCCCUAUAUAUAUAUGUACAUAUCAUGGCAUAAUUAAUAAGUGAACUUGAGAGUGUUUUGGAGACACUGUUCGUGUUUGGUUUGUUUAAAUUUUCCGCUAUUAAGUACUUAAAUGCCAUUGUAAAUGAAUGUUAGUUUACAAAACACCUAUUUUAUUAAUGGAAGCAUUAUUGGACUA